rnacentral:rRNA from 1 species
GGCUCAGGAUGAACGCUGGCGGCGUGCUUAACACAUGCAAGUCGAACGAAGCACUCAUGACAGAUUCUUCGGAUGAUGGAUUGAUUGACUGAGUGGCGGACGGGUGAGUAACGCGUGGGUAACCUGCCUCAUACAGGGGGAUAACAGUUAGAAAUGACUGCUAAUACCGCAUAAGCGCACAGUACCGCAUGGUACGGUGUGAAAAACUCCGGUGGUAUGAGAUGGACCCGCGUCUGAUUAGCUAGUUGGUGAGGUAACGGCCCACCAAGGCGACGAUCAGUAGCCGGCCUGAGAGGGUGAACGGCCACAUUGGGACUGAGACACGGCCCAAACUCCUACGGGAGGCAGCAGUGGGGAAUAUUGGACAAUGGGGGAAACCCUGAUCCAGCGACGCCGCGUGAGUGAAGAAGUAUUUCGGUAUGUAAAGCUCUAUCAGCAGGGAAGAAAAUGACGGUACCUGACUAAGAAGCCCCGGCUAACUACGUG